AUGCUCCACUUUGCCACUACCCUUGCUCCACCUUGGUGUGCUGUAGUUUUUAUCUUCUCAGACAGCUCAUCCUUUCUCUCUGAGCGUAAGCUGCUCCUGCACUCUAAUCACAGAAGGCAACAACUGCUGGGGUUGGUGGUCCUGCGGGACACAUCGACCAUGCUCCCGGCGGGGUCAGCCUCCUGGGGAGCCAGAGGACCAGCAGCACACAUCGCUCUGCUUGGCCUUCUCAGGCAUUUUUUGGAUUUGGUGAAGUCUUCAGUACGGAAGCAGUUUUCUCUGGAAUUUCACUCUCUGCUUUCCUUUCCCCAGCUCUUCCAGAAAAACGCCUCCAGCAAUGCAGCCACAAACCCUGCCUUGCACCACUCACCUGCACAGAUGUUUACUGCAGAGCUGCCUGCAAUCUUUGACAUGCUAAUGCUCAGCAUGGGAUGCAGACCAUGAAUAUUCCAGCAGCGCUGGGUACUUCUUUCACCUGCCUGCAUACCAAAUUGGCCUCAAAAAUCGUGCUCCCUUCGACCAUCAUCGCAAGCACCACUUUGAAGAGGGCUUUUGUACCUGCUGCAUGGUUUGCAGGUUGUGUUGUGUCUUGGGAACCCUUUCGUGGAGUCAGGUUCAGGACAAGCUCUGUCUUGUCCUGCAAAACAGCUCAGAUGUGCUAGUGAGGACUUGAGCAGUAAUGGGGAUUCAGUUCCCCAGGCUGUGCUAGUUCUGCCAGGCCAGUGGCUCCUAUUUAGCGCGUUGGGGCUGAGGUCUGCUGCCCUGGCAGAGGCAGCCACAGAUGCACAGGAGCGGGUUCUUGGGCCAGCUCCUCACACCUGCCCUGCAAAGCCCUGCCAUCGCUCGUCCUUCCUGCAGCCGACAGCCCUCACCGAGGAGACGAGCAGUGAGAAGAGGUUAGAAAGGGAAGGGCCUGCUGGGGAGAGACAUGCUGGGAGGAUUGUGCUGAAGGUGCCAAGGUCUGCAGGAAUAGAGAACUGGCUGCAGGACCAGUGAGAGCAUCUCGGCCCUUAGUGGCUCAGGAGCAUCUCGUGGCAGCUGCAGCCUGGCCCCGAGGGCUGGCUGGGCCUGGCUUGGUGUGUGCCGGGGGUAGGAGGUGCCUCUCACUGCUUCUUUGUGGCUGACAACCAAAGGUGUCAAGGCAGAGCUGGCCGGGGAAGUCCCAGAGAAGCCUGAGCCUGCGCAGAGGCAGAGAGGCCUCACACAAAAGAUCACAGAGGGCUGCAGGAAGCGCACUGCCUCCAAAGCGGCAGCUCUGUUCCCCCAGGGACUGCAGCGACAGAGGAACAGCACGUACGAGGUUGGAGGGCUUCUGCCAAAGCAGAGCUGCGGGCUACGGCCGCGCCAGGGUGCCGAUCCUGCCCCCCACCGUAUCGCUGUCCACCACGUGGGAGCUGUUUAAAUCUGUUUCCCUCCGAACAAAGGAGCCAGAUGAGUCCUUACACUUGAAAGAAGCUGGUCGGGGCUGGUGUUGUUUCCUCCAAGAGUGCUGAGCGGCAAAUCCCUAGCGUAACAUAAAAACCCGGAAAAGAAUAGUAAUGAUGACUCAUUUGUCACCGUAUGUGACAUCUUCGCACCAAACAGUGCGCCGGUGACCUGUUGCCGUGUUAUUAUUGUGCUCCACUUCUUGAAUGGAUUCCAUGAGCUGCUUUGGGCUAUAUUUACCUUGCUGAGCGCGUGACGUCCUUGCUGGUUUACAGCCGGCAGAAUACAGCCAUGCACGUUGUCACCUCGGGACUCAGCAUCCACAGAGCCACGGGGACUGCAGAGUUUCACAAUGCCUGCCCCGAUGAUUGCUUUACAAGGCCGGCACAUCCAGGUGAUGUUUAAUGGCACACAAAUUAAAGCAGGGCUCAAAGAACACAGCCAGAGGGCAGGGUCCGGAGGCUCCAUAUCUCUUGCUGGGACCUGGGACCGGGCUCGUCCUGCUCUAACUGCCGGCAGGUUUUAACCACGCAUGGUAGAGCAGAGCGAGCACACUGCUCCUUGCCUACACUGGCAGCUAAGUUGGAUUCGGAAUGAGUUCAGCUGCUUCAGUUAAUGCCAAAAUAAACCACCGGACCUUGGCA
rnacentral:lncRNA from 1 species